GGUUCGAUUCUGGCUCAGAUUGAACAUGGCGGGAUGUUACAUGCAAGUCGAACGGCAGCACGGACUUCGGUCUGGUGGCGAGUGGCGAACGGGUGAGUAAUGUAUCGGAACGUGCCUAGUAGCGGGGGAUAACUACGCGAAAGCGUAGCCUAAUACCGCAUACGCCCUUCAGAGAGAAGCAGGGGACCUUCGGGCCUCGCACUAUUGAAGCGGCCG
rnacentral:misc_RNA from 1 species